rnacentral:rRNA from 1 species
UGUGGCGGUCAAAGCCAAAGGGUAACACCUGUUCUCAUUCCGAACACAGAAGUUAAGCCUUUGUACGUUCCUUUGUGGUACUGCAUUUAUGUGGGAAGCUUGGAAAGCUGCCAUAU